rnacentral:rRNA from 1 species
UACGUAGGUGGCAAGCGUUAUCCGGAUUUACUGGGUGUAAAGGGCGUGUAGGCGGGACUGCAAGUCAGAUGUGAAACCCAUGGGCUCAACCCAUGGCCUGCAUUUGAAACUGUUGAUCUUGAGUACUGGAGAGGCAGACGGAAUUCCUAGUGUAGCGGUGAAAUGCGUAGAUAUUAGGAGGAACACCAGUGGCGAAGGCGGUCUGCUGGACAGCAACUGACGGUGAGGCGCGAAAGCGUGGGGAGCAAACAGG